rnacentral:rRNA from 1 species
AUGGAGCACGGCCAGGCGACUAACCGCGUCGACGAGUACGGCAACCCGGUGGCCGGACAUGGCGUCGGCACCGGCAUGGGGGCGCACGGCGGCGUGGGCACCGGCGCGGCCGCUGGUGGGCAUUUCCAGCCCACGAGGGAGGAGCACAAGGCCGGAGGGAUCCUGCAGCGCUCCGGCAGCUCUAGUAGCUCCAGCUCGUCUGAGGAUGAUGGCAUGGGCGGGAGGAGGAAGAAGGGCAUCAAGGGGAAGAUCAAGGAGAAGCUCCCCGGUGGCCAUGGCGACCAGCAACAGACCGCUGGCACCUAUGGGCAGCAGGGUCACACCGGAAUGACCGGCACCGGGGCGCAUGGUACAGCAGCCACUGGCGGCACCUACGGGCAGCAAGGACAC